AUUGAACGCUGGCUGCAGGCCUAACACAUGCAAGUCGAACGAGCGGCGGACGGGUGCGUAAUGUCUGGGAAACUGCCUGAUGGAGGGGGAUAACUACCGGAAACGGUAGCUAAUACCGCAUACCAUCGGAUGUGCCCAGAUGGGGUUAGCUAGUAGGUGGGGUAAAUGCUCACCUAGGCGACGAUCCCUAGCUGGUCUGUGAGGAUGACCAGCCACCCUGGAACUGAGACACGGUCCAGACUCCUACGCUAGGCCGCGGUGGGGAAUAUAGCACAGUGGGCGCAAGCCUGACGCAGCCAUGCCGCGUGUAUGGAGAAGGCCUUCGGGUUGUAAAGUACUUUCAGCGGGGAGGCGUUACCCGCAGAAGAAGGACCGGCUAACUCCGUGCCAGCAGCCGCGGUAAUAC
rnacentral:rRNA from 1 species